UAUUUGUUUUGGUUAUAAAAAUAAUAAAUGAAACGUAGAAAGGGAAAAGGAAAAGGAGUCAAUAGAAUUGCAGGCGGCGGAAGAUUAAUGCGGGAGAAAUAUGCUUAUGGAGAUUAGGUCCGCCGCACUCAUAAUAUUGAGCAACGUACGGCGCGGGGUGAGGGCUGAGAACGUGUUGACGUGUUGGACACAGACAGACAGAUGGUCACACCGGCAACUUGGCGUGUUCGGCCGGCAGUGGACCCCACCACCUUCUUUAUUUAUUUAUUAUUAUUAAAAAUAUAUAUAAAAGCGGCCGAAAUGUGAGAGAUGCCUUAUGUCUAUGAUGUGCCACGUUUGGCACCCUAAUCUAGAACACAGCCCAGCCACCUCACCACCUCGCAACAUUAAAAUAAUAAUUAUAAAAAGAAAAUGAGUGGGUGGCGGCGGCUGCUGCUUCCGACGUGGACGUUGCUGCAUUUUGAGGCGACACGCCACGCCACACACGAGUGAAGGGAAAGGCAUAAGAAACGACGACGGUUUGGGGUGGAUGGGGGGCGUACACAACACACGCGACGAAAGAGCGUGGGUGGGGUGUGAGGAAAUAUUGAGAAUGGGAUUUGUAUCCCAUAAGAUGGACAGAAGAAAGUGUGUAGGUUACCCUUUGAUUUGAUUUGAUGAAGAACGUGACACUCAAGGCGAAUCCGGACCCACUCCUAUAAUUGGAGUCGUAUUCCCAGUGUUGCUUCAUCGUUGAAUAUGUAUGUUGCUCUCUCUCUCUCUCUCUGUCUCUGUUUCUAUCUGAAUGUAUUUGGUAUGUGGGUUUUGAAUCGCAUAAGUUUAAGAUAUAGAUUUAGUUCAAAUAUUAGAUGUUUAGCUAUCAAUUUGAUUUCUAGGGCUUAGUUUUUGAGAUGCCAUUAAAGCUCUUGAAUCCUUAAAGUUGUCGAGUGUCGUAGAGGUUUGUUACAUUGUAGCUUAUCCUUUAUACUAUACUCGAAUCAUUUCUCCUUUUUCACUCAUCGAUGAUAAUACGAUGGAUGUUGAUUUAAUUGAAGACAAUUGUUUAGGUCUCUUGGCUUUUGUAAGACUAGUGGGUACCUACAACUUAUCUGCCUUCAAUUCCCAGUCCUUGUACCUAUAAAGAUUCCUCUUUAGAAGGUUUUAUUUUCAUUCAUCACAUCAUUUCUCACCAUCCAUUCUCAGGAGGAUUUGGAUUAGGAUUUCGAAUCUAAGUUUGAUACCUAAUAGUCCCAACAUUCUCCUGCAUUUCCUGUCAUAUGGGUACAUUACUUCUCGCUUCUAAGAGGGAAGACUAUCCCCACACACCAACACGAGCAUUCUAACAUGCUUUGGCUCCACUUAUAUGCAUCCUAGGAAAAUUUCUAAGAGGUCACUCAAACAUAGAAUUGCUCCAAGUAAAGCAUGAUUAACGUUAGAGUUUCUAUGAUUGAGCCACUAAAAAAGAAGGUGCACCUUGUUGGUAUACGUAGUGACUUUAACUUCUUUUAAGUCUGUCUUAGUCAUUCUAUCCUCAAGUUCGUUUUGGUUCGGUUGUAGUCUUGGUUCAUUCAUGUAUCCCUCUUUUACUCGGGUGUCACAUGCUCACCAGUUUCUGCCUUCAUUCGUCCCUGAACCACAUCUUAUUAGAUAAGGUAUCGUUUUAAUACCAUUUGUCAUGACCCAUGCUUAGGAUUCAUGCCUAGGAUUCAGCACCUGAUGACCCCAACAUUUUCCUACAACAGGAUGAUGUUACUUCUCGUUUCUAAGAGUGGAGGCUAUCCCCACACAUACCAACACAAGUUUUUCAAGUAUGCUUUGUUCUCACUCAUAUCAUUCUAGAAAAAUCAAGAGGCUAUCUAACAUAGAACUACUCCAAGUGUAGCACGCUUAACUUGGAAGUUCUUAUGAUUGAACCACGGAAAAUGAAUUCACUUAUGUACUUCUCCUUCUCCUCUCCUCAGUGUCACAUCAUCCCUUGGAUGAAAGACUCUACAACUUCUCUCUCCCUCUCGGUGGGAAGACUUUGAUGCUGAAUCUAAAGUUAGCCUAAACAGUAGGGAAGGGGAUUCAGUUUUGAUUGCACCAGAGGGAGGAUUCACUUUUGAGCGAACUUCCUGAUUGCCAGAAAUUGCCUUCUACUGGUUUUGGUGCAUCAUUUCCCCUUAAUAGAGGGGUUUCUGCCUCAAGGAAUGGGUUGCCUACUGAGUUUAGACUCUCUUCGGAUGGCUUAGCCAAAUUGGGUGUGAUGGAGGAACCUGCUAAUGUUGCAUCCCCACGCUUGCUGAACUAUCACUUUUCUCCAGUUUUGAGAACUUCUCUGAAUCAAAAUACUACUCUUCUAACUAUGCUUCUCUGUCGUUGUUAAGACAAAGUGAACCUACUGCUCUUAAGUUGUCCUGAAAAUUUUCGGUGAUUAAGAAAAGGGUCUUUGUAUUAUGGCGUGCUUUGAGCGUUGCUGUAUAUAUAUACAGAACCAUAUUCAGCGUUUUCUUCACUUACCAAUAUGUAUCCAAAGUUGCUGUACUGAUUUUGCUUUAGAUAUAUUGGCCAAAAUGAAUGUAGUCCAGCAGCAGCCUUAAACUCGCUGGCUCAGACCGUGGAACAACCUCCAUUCCACCCAAGCAAACUCCAGAUUCUUCCAGUGGCAUCUUAUUCUUCAUACCCAACUGAGAACAAAAUCUGGGCCGUUCAUAGAGUUGAAGAACAACCAGAGGGUAUCCACGUUGUGCUAAUAUAUCAUGUGUCCUUCUGCACUGGACCCCAGCCCUCAUUUGUUCUUAUAUUUUAACAGCAGGCAGAGAUUCCACGUGUAGAGCAACCCAUACACUGCUCUGUAUCUGAAGUAGAUAUUUUUGUUUUCUGCUA